rnacentral:rRNA from 1 species
AUUGGUACGUACUAGUAUUAUUGGUUUCUCCCUUCUGAUGAAUCAUGAUGUCAUUAAUUUGAUGUCAUGGGGAAUCAGGACUGUUACUUUGAAAAAAUUAGAGUGUUUAAAGCAGGCUCGCGCUUGAAUACAUUAGCAUGGAAUAACGAAAUAGGACGUUUGAUUCUAUUUUGUUGGUUUCUAGGAUCGACGUAAUGAUUAAUAGGGAUAGUUGGGGGCAUUAGUAUUCAAUUGUCAGAGGUGAAAUUCUUGGAUUUAUUGAAGACUAACUACUGCGAAAGCAUUUGCCAAGGAUGUUUUCAUUAAUCAAGAACGAAAGUUAGGGGAUCGAAGACGAUCAGAUACCGUCGUAGUCUUAACCAUAAACUAUGCCGACUAGGGAUCGGAUGAUGCUAAUUUUUUAAUGACUCAUUCGGUGCCUUACG